UACGAAGGGGGCUAGCGUUGCUCGGAAUCACUGGGCGUAAAGCGCACGUAGGCGGAUUGUUAAGUCAGGGGUGAAAUCCUGGAGCUCAACUCCAGAACUGCCCUUGAUACUGGCGAUCUUGAGUCCGGGAGAGGUGAGUGGAACUGCGAGUGUAGAGGUGAAAUUCGUAGAUAUUCGCAAGAACACCAGUGGCGAAGGCGGCUCACUGGCCCGGUACUGACGCUGAGGUGCGAAAGCGUGGGGAGCAAACAGG
rnacentral:rRNA from 1 species